UACGUAGGUGGCAAGCGUUGUCCGGAUUUACUGGGCGUAAAGAGCGCGCAGGCAGUCGUUCAAGUCGCGUGUGAAAGCCCCCGGCUCAACUGGGGAGGGUCACGCGAUACUGAUCGACUCGAAGGCAGGAGAGGGAAGUGGAAUUCCCGGUGUAGUGGUGAAAUGCGUAGAUAUCGGGAGGAACACCAGUGGCGAAGGCGACUUCCUGGCCUGUUCUUGACGCUGAGGCGGCGAAAAGCUAGGGGAGCAAACGGG
rnacentral:rRNA from 1 species